GUGGGGAAUAUUGGACAAUGGGGGGAACCCUGAUCCAGUCAUGCCGCGUGUGUGAAGAAGGCCUUUUGGUUGUAAAGCACUUUAAGCGAGGAGGAGGCUACCGAGAUUAAUACUCUUGGAUAGUGGACGUUACUCGCAGAAUAAGCACCGGCUAACUCUGUGCCAGCAGCCGCGGUAAUACAGAGGGUGCAAGCGUUAAUCGGAUUUACUGGGCGUAAAGCGCGCGUAGGUGGCCAAUUAAGUCAAAUGUGAAAUCCCCGAGCUUAACUUGGGAAUUGCAUUCGAUACUGGUUGGCUAGAGUAUGGGAGAGGAUGGUAGAAUUCCAGGUGUAGCGGUGAAAUGCGUAGAGAUCUGGAGGAAUACCGAUGGCGAAGGCAGCCAUCUGGCCUAAUACUGACACUGAGGUGCGAAAGCAUGGGGAGCAAACAGGAUUAGAUACCCGAGUAGUCC
rnacentral:rRNA from 1 species